rnacentral:rRNA from 1 species
GACAGAGGCCACGAACGUUGUUCGGAAUCACUGGGCAUAAAGCGCACGUAGGCGGCUAGGUCCGUCCGAUGUGAAAAGCCCCCCGGCUCAACCGGGCGAAUUGCAUCGGAUACAGCCUGGCUUGAGGACGGUUGGGGUGAGUGGAACUCCUGGUGGAGCGGUGAAAAUGCGUAGAUAUCAGGAGGAACACCGGUGGCGAAAGCGGCUCACUGGACCGUUUCUGACGCUGAGGUGCGAAAAGCUAGGGGAGCAAACGGGG